ACACCCUCAUUGACUGGAAGGAUUUCAUUAUGGUCAAUGAGGUUGUUGUUUCUCAUUGACCAUAAGGAAAUCUUUCAAGUCAUGUGGGAGU
rnacentral:miRNA from 1 species